AAGUCGUAACAAGGUUUCCGUAGGUGAACCUGCGGAAGGAUCAUUUCCGAAAAAAAAAACAAACAUUGUAUCCACCCACCAUGUGCACUGUUAUGGGUUUUUUUUACUCCCUUUUCCUCUUGUUUUUUUCUUUUCUUUCUUGCCUUGUUCCCUUUUUUUUCCCUUUUCCUCCGUGCGAGGCAAAGGGGAGGGCAAGGGAAGGAAGAGAGAGAGAGAGGGAGUGGAGAGGGAGGCCUUGAUGAACUACCUUGUCAAAAGGGUUUGAUAUAUCACCGUGGUAGCAAUACUUUUUUUCGUAAGAAGAAAAAAAAAAUAUUGGGUUUUCCCAAAAAGGAAAUCCAAUACACACAAUAAAUGAUAUACGACAACUUUUAACGGUGGAUCUCUUGGCUCGU
rnacentral:misc_RNA from 1 species